ensembl:lncRNA novel transcript
AGUGUGCAAUUCUAACAGGUCUUAGCCAGUCCUUCAAGAGCCCAGGAGCUAGAAUGGCUCUUCCAAGUUUUCCAGAAUUGAGACAAAAAGGCCAGGUCUUCGUACAUCUGCAUAGACCAGUUCUUUGAUGUGAGCUAACUCCAGUAAGAGGGUAUAACCUUGAGCAAAGCAGCUCCCUUUAUUCUAGAGCAAUCUCCAAAGUGGUACUCAGCCAUGAAAUGUCUACAGCCAAUACUUCUCGCAGGUGUGGAAAUGCACGCUUCAGACCUGAAGGGGCAACGCAGAAGGCAUACCACAGCAUCCACCACAUGCUUCCACAACAAUAAAAAAUAGUUUGGAUAUUACUUAGCUUAAUAGUUCGAAGAUGUGUCUGUAAAAGUCAGCAUAAUGUUCAGAAGACCAAACUAGGUCAUUUCAAACCUCAGUCACCUUCAGAGAGAUUCUAGGAAGGGCACACUAAGAGUCAGCAAAGAGACGACAUUCCUGGAUUCCUGACUUGUUGUCCAGAUCUGCUACUGAAUCAGAUUCAGCUGGGUGGCGAGUGCGGAGUGGGUACUGCUACUGGCAUCUGGUGGGUAGAGGCCACGGACACUGCUUAACAUUCUACAGUGCACAGGAGAGGUCCCUACAACAGAGAAAUAUUCUCCCGAAAGUUUCAGUAGUGCUAAGUUUGAGUAAUUCUGCUCUUCACCAUCAAGUUUCCUUCUCUUGGAGCCUGCUACCAGCCAAUGACAUCAGGAUCUAACCUGAGACGAACCUAGGUGUUCUAUACGGCAGCCUGGUGUACUGAAGAGUGCCUAAGGUUUGCAAGCUCGCUAGCUGUGGCUCCCCCUCUCGCUAGCUUGAGCUAGUUAUUUAAACCCUUAGAGAUGCCUUUCUUUAAAUUAAAAAAAAAAUAAAUAAAUCUGCACAAUA